AAUUCACUUAUUCACCAAUAGUGACGCCAUAUUGAAUCAUGAUGCAUUAUGGGUUAUCCAGGGUAAAAAUCCGAAUUCAAAAGCCUUUAAUGUCGUAUUGAGACACAAUACGAUAAUUUUUUUUUGCAAACAAUUUCUUGAUGACAAUGAGACAGUAUAAAUCAAUUUUAUGCGCACUUUGGUGAAAUUAUUUCCCUUUUUAGGCCUAACAAAGAUUUAAACUAUAGAUUUUAUCCUGAUUUUUUUUAUUUUUCCCAGCUUUUGUGUGUUUUCCUAGUUCUUCUAAAAAUUGUCUGUUAUUUUUAACUAUAAAAACGU